AAAACUAGCCAGUCUUUUGGGUAUGAAACCCAUUUGGGCGAGAGUAGUACUAGGAUGGGUGACCUCCUGGGAAGUCCUCAUGAAGGGCUUUC
rnacentral:rRNA from 1 species